GACGAACGCUGGCGGCGUGCUUAACACAUGCCAGUCGAACGGAAAGGCCCUGCUUUUGUGGGGUGCUCGAUUGGCGAAGGGGUGAGUAUCACGUGAGUAACCUCCCCUUGACUUUGGGAUAACUUCAGGAAACUCGGGCUCAUACCGCAUAGGAUCUCCUGCUCCAUGGUGGUCGUUGGAAAGUUUCGGCGGUUGGGGCUGGACUCGCGGCUUAUCAGCUUGUUGGGGUGGUAGUGGCUUACCCAGGCUUUGACGGGUAGCCGGCCUGAGAGAGUGACCAGCGACAUGGGGACUGCGGUACGGACCAGUCGCCUACGGGAGGCAGCAGUGGAGAGUAUUGCACAGUGGGGGGAAGCGUGAGACAGCGGCGCCGCGAGCGGGAUGACGGGUUUCGGGUGGUAAACCGCUGUCGCCUGUGACGAAGCGUGAGUGACGGUAAUGGGUAAAGAAGCACCGGCUAACUACGUG
rnacentral:rRNA from 1 species